rnacentral:rRNA from 1 species
UCCGUAGGUGAACCUGCGGAAGGAUCAUUAGUGAAUCGGCCCUCUGUGGCCACAAUCACAUCCUCACACCUCUGUGAACCGUUGGACCUCUGGGUCCACCUUUACAAAACUAUUGUUGUCAUGAACGUGAAAUGUAUAAACAAGUAAAACUUUCAACAACGGAUCUCUUGGCUCUCGCAUCGAUGAAGAACGCAGCGAAAUGCGAUAAGUAAUGUGAAUUGCAGAAUUCAGUGAAUCAUCGAAUCUUUGAACGCAACUUGCGCCUCUUGGUAUUCCGAGAGGCAUGCCUGUUUGAGUGUCAUGAAUACCUCAACCCCCCGGGUUCCUUGUGGACCCAGGGCGGCUUGGAGAUGGGCGUCUGCCGGUGUCGAGCCGGCUCGCCUCAAAGGUCUCAGUGGGAUCCUCGACCCCAUGCCUGACGUAAUAAGUUUCGUCUGGGCUGGGCCGUGGGAUGUCUGCUCACAACCCCUCAUAUUCUGUGACUCUGACCUCAAAUCAGGUAGGGCUACCCGCUGAACUUAAGCAUAUCAAUAAGCGGAGGA